GUGCAGCAGUCGAGAAACCUCCGCAAUGCGGGAAACCGCGACGGGGGGACCCCGAGUGCCGUGGCAACGCCACGGCUUUUCCGGAGUGUAAAAAGCUCCGGGAAUAAGGGCUGGGCAAGGCCGGUGGCAGCCGCCGCGGUAAUACCGGCGGCCCGAGUGGUGGCCGCUAUUAUUGGGCCUAAAGCGUCCGUAGCCGGGCCCGUAAGUCCCUGGCGAAAUCCCACGGCUCAACCGUGGGGCUUGCUGGGGAUACUGCGGGUCUUGGGACCGGGAGAGGCGGGGGGUACCCCUGGGGUAGGGGUGAAAUCCUAUAAUCCCAGGGGGACCGCCAGUGGCGAAGGCGCCCCGCUGGAACGGGUCCGACGGUGAGGGACGAAGGCCAGGGGAGC
rnacentral:rRNA from 1 species